AAGCUGAGUGAGGCCAUGUCUGUUACCAGGAGACAUGAGACUCACAGCAGAUCUCUCUGGCUUAACAUGGGAGAUGGCGACUUUAUAAAGUGCUCCAGUUCUUAUGGUGUUUUCUGACCAGGAUCUGUACCAAGCAGAUGAACGUGCCAAGAUGUCUUCGUUCUCCCUGGCUGCACAUCCUCCUGUAGUCUUCAUGCCGGCCUUCGUUUGACCUGUUUUUGGGAAGUUCUGCCUUUUCCUUCUAUUUUAAUCUACACUCUGUUGCCACCAUUACAUAUCCAUGCAUGUAGAGUUGAUGGUAGUAUACUAAAACUUUUUAGAAGAGAAGAUAUGAAAACCCAAAUGGAGUGAAUAGCUAACCAGAAGACAUAUAUUAAAUAAGCAAAAUUCCCAAAAAAAAAAAAAAA
rnacentral:lncRNA from 1 species